AGUUUGAUCCUGGCUCAGGAUGAACGCUAGCGGCAGGCCUAAUACAUGCAAGUCGAACGGAAUAUGAUUUUCGGAUUAUAUUUAGUGGCGCACGGGUGAGUAACACGUACAUAACUUACCCUCAAGAGGGGGAUAGCCUCGGGAAACUGAGCGUAAUACCCCAUAGUAUUAUUGAACGGCAUCGUUUGAUAUUAAAGCUACGGCGCUUGAGGAUAGAUGUGCGUCUGAUUAGCUAGUUGGUAAGGUAACGGCUUACCAAGGCGACGAUCAGUAGGGGGCGUGAGAGCGUGGCCCCCCACACGGGUACUGAGACACGGACCCGACUCCUACGGGAGGCAGCAGUAAGGAAUAUUGGUCAAUGCCCGGAAGGGUGAACCAGCCAUGCCGCGUGAAGGAUGACUGCCCUCUGGGUUGUAAACUUCUUUUGGAUGGGACGAAAAAACGGGAUUUAUCCUGGACUGACGGUACCAUCAGAAUAAGCACCGGCUAACUCCGUG
rnacentral:rRNA from 1 species